UACGUAGGGGGCAAGCGUUGUCCGGAUUUAUUGGGCGUAAAGAGCGUGUAGGCGGCCAUUCAGGUCAGCUGUGAAAACUCGAGGCUCAACUUCGAGCUGUCGGUGGAAACUUUCUGGCUAGAGUCCGGAAGAGGAGAAUGGAAUUCCUGGUGUAGCGGUGAAAUGCGCAGAUAUCAGGAAGAACACCCGUGGCGAAGGCGGUUCUCUGGGACGGUACUGACGCUGAGACGCGAAAGCGUGGGGAGCGAACAGG
rnacentral:rRNA from 1 species